CAGGGUGACAGGUGGUGCAUGGUUGUCGUCAGCUCGUGUCGUGAGAUGUUGGGUUAAGUCCCGCAACGAGCGCAACCCUCGACCUUAGUUACCAGCAUUCAGUUGGGCACUCUAAGGUGACUGCCGGCUAAAAGUCGGAGGAAGGUGGGGAUGACGUCAAAUCAUCAUGCCCCUUAUGACCCGGGCUACACACGUGCUACAAUGGGCGGUACAAAGGGUCGCGAACCCGCGAGGGGGGAGCCAAUCCCAAAAAGCCGCUCUCAGUUCGGAUUGCAGGCUGCAACUCGCCUGCAUGAAGCCGGAAUCGCUAGUAAUCGCGGAUCAGCAUGCCGCGGUGAAUACGUUCCCGGGCCUU
rnacentral:rRNA from 1 species